AUAUAAUCAUUUUUACUUGAACAAGAGCGCUUCCGCAUUGCGUCACUAUGUAAACGUACUUCCGGUUUAGAGCGGAAGUACAAUGUCUUCGCUUGGCGUCUUGAGCUUUACUUGAAUGGCUCAAAUACUGUCUUUAAGCUACUAGAAAGCUGCCAUUUAAUCACUUAGAGACGACAAAGUCGCUAUUUUGAGUCUCUACGUGUGAUCAGUUCAUCCAAAUAUCUUUUACUGUUAAACGUCACGUGCUGUUGUAGCCGUGAGGCGCCAUUGACGCGAGCGGCUGGUCGCAGGUGUUCGCUCAGCGCGAUCCUCAGGCUCCCCUUCUGGUGCCGGAGCAUCUCGCAGGUCAUCAGGCCGUAGAAGACGGCGGAGCAGACCAGGGGCACGCAGAAGUAGAAGGCGAACAGCCACCAGUCCUUGGCGUCGCGGUAGAACUGGAACACGAUGGGAAGUGUGCGUUUUAUUAACCUCUCAAAACGUUUGUAGUCCAGUUUGUCUAGAACCGGUAAUUAGAGCAGAGGAGUUUAAGAGCGUUUUAACUGUAACAGUUAACCCCAUGAAGCUCUGCAACACGCAAACAUUUGAUUGGUCAGUUUGAUCCUGAGUGAUGGCGGGUCAGCUGACCCAGGAUCACUUUGGAGGUGCCUGUUUGGUCCGGUCGUGACCCGCAGACAGGAAAUGACGUUCUAAACCGACCUCGGCCCGAGAACACACGAGAUGGUCUCCAGCGGUUCCCACGGACACCGGGAUCAGUAUCAGUAAAAGUGACCAUGUCGAAGCCGACGGCCUCCGGCACCGCGAGCAGCGCCGACAGCAGCCAGAUCGCCACGAUCUCCAGCGCCGUCACCGCGGGGA